rnacentral:rRNA from 1 species
UACAGAGGGUGCAAGCGUUAAUCGGAGUUACUGGGCGUAAAGGGCGCGUAGGCGGUUAUUUAAGUUGGAUGUGAAAUCCCUGGGCUUAACCUAGGAACUGCAUACAAGACUGGAUAACUAGAGUACUGUAGAGGGUAGUGGAAUUUCCGGUGUAGCGGUGAAAUGCGUAGAGAUCGGAAGGAACACCAGUGGCGAAGGCGGCUACCUGGACAGAUACUGACGCUGAGGCGCGAAAGCGUGGGGAGCAAACAGG